GUUGCGUUCCCGUACGAGGAGACUGCAGCCACCAAACAACCAACAAUUCCUUGCUUUUUACAGCUUUGUUGACUACGGUCCAACAGUCUUCACAGACUGCCCCCUUUUUUUUUCCCCAUUGCACAGACACGAAUUUCAAUGGACCGUUGGCUCUUGGCUGCGUUCCCUUUUGCAGCUCCCAAGCAACCACCAACUCAUGUUUCUCGCAGCUCCACUGACUGCAUUCAAACAUCAUUCAGAUGCUGCUUUUUUUGGAACAGCCACAAAUUUCAACGAUGGUAUAACGAUGGGUAUGUUGGCUGCGUUCCCUUUUGCAGCUCACAAGCAACCACCAACUCAUGUUUCUUACAGCUCCACUGACUGCGUUCAAACAUCAUUCAUAGGCUGCUGUUUUUGGCACAGCCACAAAUUUCAACGAUGU